UACGUAGGGUGCGAGCGUUAAUCGGAAUUACUGGGCGUAAAGCGUGCGCAGGCGGCUUCGCAAGUCAGACGUGAAAUCCCCGGGCUUAACCUGGGAAUGGCGUUCGAAACUACGGAGCUGGAGUAUGGCAGAGGGGGGUGGAAUUCCACGUGUAGCGGUGAAAUGCGUAGAUAUGUGGAGGAACACCGAUGGCGAAGGCAGCCCCCUGGGCCAAUACUGACGCUCAUGCACGAAAGCGUGGGGAGCAAACAGG
rnacentral:rRNA from 1 species